rnacentral:misc_RNA from 1 species
GGAGUAAAAGUCGUAACAAGGUCUCCGUUGGUGAACCAGCGGAGGGAUCAUUAUCGAGUUUAUAACUCCCAAACCCUAUGUGAACUUACCACUUGUUGCUUCGGCGCGCGCUUCGGUGCCGCCGAGGACACUUAAACUCUUUGUUUUUAUAAGCAUUUCUGAGUGGUCGAAAGGCAAAAUACAAAUGAAUCAAAACUUUCAACAACGGAUCUCUUGGUUCUG